rnacentral:rRNA from 1 species
UAGGGAAUCUUCGGCAAUGGGGGGAACCCUGACCGAGCAACGCCGCGUGAGUGAAGAAGGUUUUCGGAUCGUAAAGCUCUGUUGUUAAGGAAGAACGAGUGUGAGAAUGGAAAGUUCAUACUGUGACGGUACUUAACCAGAAAGGGACGGCUAACUACGUGCCAGCAGCCGCGGUAAUACGUAGGUCCCGAGCGUUGUCCGGAUUUAUUGGGCGUAAAGCGAGCGCAGGCGGUUAGAAAAGUCUGAAGUGAAAGGCAGUGGCUCAACCAUUGUAGGCUUUGGAAACUGUUUAACUUGAGUGCAGAAGGGGAGAGUGGAAUUCCAUGUGUAGCGGUGAAAUGCGGAGAUAUAUGGAGGAACACCGGUGGCGAAAGCGGCUCUCUGGUCUGUAACUGACGCUGAGGCUCGAAAGCGUGGGGAGCGAACAGG